rnacentral:lncRNA from 1 species
CCGAGGGGCGCGGGGUCCGCGGGCGGGGAUGGGGCCGGGGGGAGCGGUCCCCGCGGGGGGCCGGGCAGCGGGGGUGGGAUCUGCUCCGCGUAAUCCCCCAUGGGGGGCGGCUGGCCGCGCUCGGAGCAUCCCCCCUUCCCCAGCGCGGGGGGAGGCGGCGGGGGAGCCGCCACCCCCCGCUUCCUCCGUUUAAGACCCGGGCUAGCGGGGCGAGCGCAGGAGAGCGGCCGCUCCGCAGCUCCGGCCCCACGCCCGCGGCGCGCACGGGGCGGCGCUGGAUGCGCCGGCGGCGGGAGGCGGGCGGCAGCCGAGCGGGACCCCGCGCAGCGGCGCGGAGCGCGGCGCGAUGAGCGCGGGCAGCGGCAGCGGCGCCGCCGGCGCGGCGGGCACCGCCACCUCCGCGCUGUGCCUGCUGCUCUCGCUCACCGCCGUGGCCGUGUGCCUGCUGCUGGGCGCCAAGACGGCGGAGCUGCAGGGCCGGCUGGCCGCGCUGGAGGAGCGGGGCGCCGCCGGGCACGGGCCGCUGCUGGACGCGCUGCAGCCCCGCGUGGAGCAGCUGUUCCGCGAGAAACUCGGCGAAGGACUCGCGAAGCUGCGGACGGCGCGAGAGGCCCCCCAGGACUGCGUGUGCCCCCCAGGGCCCCCGGGGAGGCGAGGGAAGCCCGGGCGGCGCGGAGAACCUGGUAAGCAUCACCUGCCCCGGGGUGCCAUGGGUGGUGUGGGAGCCUUUGGGGAACCUGCCACCUCCAUCUCACAGCCUGUGGAACAGGGGCUUCCCUCACCCCUGUGUGCUGGGUAUGAAGGGUUUUAUUAAAAACUAAAAAACCCAAACCAAAACCAACUCCCAAAACCC